UACGGAGGGUGCGAGCGUUGUCCGGAAUCACUGGGCGUAAAGGGCGCGUAGGCGGUCAGCACAAGUCAGUUGUGAAAUCUCCGGGCUUAACUCGGAAAGGUCAACUGAUACUGUGCGACUAGAGUGCAGAAGGGGCAACUGGAAUUCUCGGUGUAGUGGUGAAAUGCGUAGAUAUCGGGAGGAACACCAGUGGCGAAGGCGACUUCCUGGCCUGUUCUUGACGCUGAGGCGCGAAAGCUAGGGGAGCAAACGGG
rnacentral:rRNA from 1 species